rnacentral:rRNA from 1 species
UACGUAGGGUGCGAGCGUUAAUCGGAAUUACUGGGCGUAAAGCGUGCGCAGGCGGUUUUGUAAGCCAGAUGUGAAAGCCCCGGGCUUAACCUGGGAAUGGCAUUUGGGACUGCAAGGCUUGAGUGCGGCAGAGGAGACUGGAAUUCCUGGUGUAGCAAUGAAAUGCGUAGAUAUCAGGAGGAAUACCGAUGGCGAAGGCAGGUCUCUGGGCUGACACUGACGCUCAUGCACGAAAGCGUGGGGAGCAACA